GCCCUUAGAGUUUGAUCCUGGCUCAGGAUGAACGCUAGCUACAGGCUUAACACAUGCAAGUCGAGGGGAAACGAUAGAGAAAGCUUGCUUUUUCUAGGCGUCGACCGGCGCACGGGUGAGUAACGCGUAUCCAACCUGCCCACCACUUGGGAAUAACCUUGCGAAAGUAAGACUAAUACCCAAUGAUAUCUCUAGAAGACAUCUGAAAGAGAUUAAAGAUUUAUCGGUGAUGGAUGGGGAUGCGUCUGAUUAGCUUGUUGGCGGGGUAACGGCCCACCAAGGCGACGAUCAGUAGGGGUUCUGAGAGGAAGGUCCCCCACAUUGGAACUGAGACACGGUCCAAACUCCUACGGGAGGCAGCAGUGAGGAAUAUUGGUCAAUGGGCGAGAGCCUGAACCAGCCAAGUAGCGUGCAGGAUGACGGCCCUAUGGGUUGUAAACUGCUUUUAUAAGGGAAUAAAGUGAGCCUCGUGAGGCUUUUUGCAUGUACCUUAUGAAUAAGGACCGGCUAAUUCCGUGCCAGCAGCCGCGGUAAUACGGAAGGUCCGGGCGUUAUCCGGAUUUAUUGGGUUUAAAGGGAGCGUAGGCCGGAGAUUAAGCGUGUUGUGAAAUGUAGAUGCUCAACAUCUGCACUGCAGCGCGAACUGGUUUCCUUGAGUACGCACAAAGUGGGCGGAAUUCGUGGUGUAGCGGUGAAAUGCUUAGAUAUCACGAAGAACUCCGAUUGCGAAGGCAGCUCACUGGAGCGCAACUGACGCUGAAGCUCGAAAGUGCGGGUAUCGAACAGGAUUAGAUACCCUGGUAGUCCGCACGGUAAACGAUGGAUGCCCGCUGUUGGUCUGAAUAGGUCAGCGGCCAAGCGAAAGCAUUAAGCAUCCCACCUGGGGAGUACGCCGGCAACGGUGAAACUCAAAGGAAUUGACG
rnacentral:rRNA from 1 species